AGUGAACGCUGGCGGUAGGCCUAACACAUGCAAGUCGAACGGCAGCACAGGAGAGCUUGCUCUCUGGGUGGCGAGUGGCGGACGGGUGAGGAAUACAUCGGAAUCUACUCUGUCGUGGGGGAUAACGUAGGGAAACUUACGCUAAUACCGCAUACGACCUACGGGUGAAAGCAGGGGACCUUCGGGCCUUGCGCCAUUGAAUGAGCCGAUGUCGGAUUAGCUGGUUGGCGGGGAAAAGGCCCACCAAGGAGACGAUCCGUAGCUGGUCUGAGAGUAUGAUCAGCCACAAUGGAACUGAGACACGGUCCAUACUCCUACGGGAGGCAGCAGUGGGGAAUAUUGGACAAUGGGCGCAAGCCUGAUCCAGCCAUACCGCGUGGGUGAAGAAGGCCUUCGGGUUGUAAAGCCCUUUUGUUGGGAAAGAAAUCCAGCUGGCUAAUACCCGGUUGGGAUGACGGUACCCAAAGAAUAAGCACCGGCUAACUUCGUGCCAGCCGCCGCGGUAA
rnacentral:rRNA from 1 species